rnacentral:tRNA from 1 species
GCGGGAGAGUGAAAUGGAUUACACACCAGGCUCAUAACCUGGAGACACUUGGGUUCGAAUCCCUUGUCCCGCA